GGAGUCCUACGGGGCGCAGCAGUGAGGAAUAUUGGUCAAUGGGAGAGAUCCUGAACCAGCCAAGCCGCGUGAGGGAAGACGGCCCUAUGGGUUGUAAACCUCUUUUGUCGGAGAACGAAACCCGGGACGUGUCCCGGACUGCGUGUAUCCGAAGAAAAAGCAUCGGCUAACUCCGUGCCAGCAGCCGCGGUAAUACGGAGGAUGCGAGCGUUAUCCGGAUUUAUUGGGUUUAAAGGGUGCGUAGGCGGUCUGU
rnacentral:rRNA from 1 species